rnacentral:lncRNA from 1 species
CUCUUAUUUCCAAUUUUUCAGGAAUCAUGGAUUAGGCUACAGUGAACAUCCUUAGCCAUAAAACUUUCACCCACGUCCCCAACUAUGUAUUUAGGAUAAAUCUGCAAGAGUGAAAGGACUGGGCAAGAGGUUCCAAGUUCAUGGUAUUAGGAAAACAAGACAUAAAGUUAGUAAAUGUGCAUCUUCUAGAGCCACUCUUCCCCGCCUGAGUUUAUCGGUCACUCAUAUUUCUCCCGUACACAGCUUCGGCCCACAAUCUUAAAUAUUUUCUAAGGCAAACAAUGUUUUGAACAGAUUUAAAGGGGGAAGAGGAGGGGGCGGUGUAAGCCGGGCCCCACUUCUUAAACUGCUCAGUCAAGCAAUGGAAUCUUAGACACACACACACACACACACACACACACACACACACACACACACCCGUGCCCUCCAAGAACCUGCUUUGCCUCCUGUUAAAUUAAAGGGCGCCGAGGGCAGGCAACACUGGGCGCUGGGCAGGCACAGCCCGAGAAGGAGUUCCCCACCAGUACUGAGCCCAAGCUUUGCUCCAGCCUCCGCCCUGGUUUUCUCUGCCCGGAGGAGCCGGGUGUGCGGCCGCCCGCCUUCCCGUACCUGUCGGGAGGCCCCGCAGAGCUUGGGCUUCUCACACCCAGCGACCGCCACGGCUGCUACCGGCGCAAACCACAAUUGUCUUUGGUUGCUAGGCGACGCCUCCCGGCGCCUGCGCACUUCUGCGGGAGCGCGCUCCUCUCCCGCGUGGCCUUUGUCCAGCCCUGGGCUUCAGUUGGUCACGGAGGAGCCUGGCGCGUCCUCUUUCCCGAGUAAAGUGCUUUGGAGCGGGAAAUAAGAUGCAGAGCCUCCUCAGAACUCAUCUUGGCCCUACCAGAUCUCCUCGUCCGCCAUUCUUCCCCACAGCCCAGAUGAAGAAAACAAGAACCUGCUUCGUUUCUUCCUUCGCUACUCCCACACGCCAGUGGCGAACAGCAGUUAAGCCACCGGUCGGCCACCAGCAGUUUGUUCCCUCACUGUUCCCCCUCACGUCCUCACCCCAACCCCUGCCGUCAUGUCUGGCUUUACAGCUGAUGACCUCGGCUUCUUACCCCUUCUUCUUGCUGCAUACACACAUCAAGCUGCUAGAAGCCCUUAUUCUAAGCCUGUCCUUUCCCUACCCAAACGUCAGUGGCUUCCGAAGCCAUUCAAGGGAGUUCUUCACUUGCAAAUCCUCUUUAUCUCACGCUGUGGCUGUAGCAAAAUCUUGGCACCAUUUCAGUGCGUUUGUCUUCUUGUACCAGGGGAGAAGCAAAUGAAGGGCUCCAGAGACUGACACUGUGCUGCCAAUGGUCACGAAACAGUGGGAAGCUCUUUGGCUAUUCAGAGGGGUAAUGCCACUGAGCACCCUCAGCGUAAAAUAAGAUCCCUCCCACAAGAGGCAGCCACGCUACAAAAAG